UGUUAUUCUCACCCCCAUUUUACAGAUGACAUAACUGAGGCUGGGGAGACAAAGUCGUCCAGGAUUAGAUCACUAACAGCAGCGCUACUACAGUCAAACGGGUGUGGACAGGCCCUCAGGAGUCCUGGCUAGGCCACGGCCCAGGUAGGUCACGUACUCUCUGGGCCUCAGUUCCCUGUUGGGGAGGACGCAGCCCCUCUUGAGUUCCCUUCCUCCCUGACUUGCCCGGCCUGCCGCCGCCGCCGCCGCCGCCGCCGCUGCAGGCUGCUUUGUUUCCACGCUCAGCUGCUCUGGCCGGGCUCCUGGCAAGGUUCUGCCCUGCUUUGUUUUUGUUGCUGGACCUACUACAGACGCACUCCUGGCAGCGCAGCCUAGAGCAGCCGAGGCUUCCUCUUUCGCUCAGUUCCUGGCCGCUUCAGUAUGAACAGAAAAGGCGGGCAGGGGCCAACUGGCAGAAGUCGCAGAAAUAGCGGCGCAUGAUUCUCAUCGGCGCAGCAGAAAGGUCGGCACGCAGGACCCCGCCGUCUGCCGAGUUCUUUCAUUGACUAAGGUUGCUUUUGGCACGCACAGGCACCAGGGGUUUCCAUGCUCAUUUCCCUCCAGGCACAGAAGACAGCCUUGGAGGUAAUGCUCCGCAGUCCCAUGCCAGCAACUUAGCGUCCAGGGACAGGAGAUGACUUUCAACUGCAAAAGCCACAUAGGAACCCCGAAAUCUGAAUCUCUCAUUCUGCAGCACGCAGCCUCCUAGGGGACCUACCGAGGGUUCAGGCCACCCCCGAGCUUAUGGGAAAAGGUGUGCAGUUCAAGGGUGUGUAAGCAGCAGUGACUCAGCCCUCCCAGCACAUGCGUGAAAGGCGGGUCCCCGGAUUAGCAGGCUUCCUUCCCCAGCAUGCUGCUCUCAUUAGCAGCUGCCGGGAGAGGGGGUGCGGCGCGUCUGCAGUGAGCUGGAGCCAGUGAGUCAGGCUCUCUCCUCAGCAGCUUCUCCUCGCCCUGUCCCUGUCGGUCUGCCUGUCUCUCCCUCCCUUCGGGUCUAGCAGCCGACUCAGGCCAGGGCAGCUCCAGUCAGAACUGGAUCCUUCCCCUGCUUAGUAGCACACAGGAGGAUUUGUUGGAGUGCUUUUUUGUUUUGUUUUGUUUCGCUACUAUUAAGCAAGAUUGCUCCAUAAUCCUUUAAGUGUUUUUCAGCCAAGUUUUAUUUACAUACCCUGGCUAGCAACCACGUGAUCAACCCAAGGAAAUCACGGAGGGAAGGCAGAUGCUACAUCUGAAAAAAAUCUGAUGCUGUUUCAUUGGAGGAGACACCCACAGCUGAGAUGUCAAAAGGACAACUGUCUCUUGGGCCAACACUACACAAAACUCUCAGACUCUGGAGACCCUCAGAGAUAAGAAGAAGGCGCUGCUGAGGUCAUUUACGACUCAAUCAACACGUUGAGUCAAAUACUGGAGCAAUUAUCCAAGUUCUUUAACUCAAAAUAACUCCAUUUCUCCUAAAAUUUCCAAAUAAUUAUGCAGAGUUUUCUGUAGCUGAUUUUAAGGAAGCAAUUUAGAGAUUUGGAGCUCAAGAAGGAUUUGACCUGCCAUUACUGGUUUGAAAGAAGAGGACACAUGGCAAGAAAGCAAUAGAAAAUUGAUACAAGAGGGAUCUCAUUUCAUGCUCCAUCCCAUGAACUGCCUCCAAAACACAAUUACUCAUAGAGUUCUCUGGGAUUCUGCAAGAUUUGCUGAGAAUGCUAAGAUGUCUCUACAAGGAGCACGGUUUUCACUACUCCUGGGACAUUAUGGAUGGAGUUGGCAAAUUGGAUCCACCAUUUUUUAAUCCCAUCAAGUUGCACCAUAUGUUUAUAAAUAAUGUUUUUGUUAUGAUUCUAAUUGAGGGAGAUUUAGUGCUGUAGCCAGCCUAUUUUCUGACUCGCUAUUGUCUAAGAUCUUGCAUUCUUUCAAAAGUUGAAACAGAAAACUAGAGUAAAUUACACAUAUCUCUGCCUAAAGGAUUUAUAUUUUCCUUUUGUUUGUUCUUAAAUACAAUCAUUCUACUCAUCUGCUGACUGUUCAAUUGCAGGACCUAGUGGCAUAAAGCCAGAUAUCCUGUCCUGUGGUUUCCCCUCCCCCACUGGUGAGAUUAAGGGGAGAGGGGGGCGGCGUGGAGCAAGAGGAGGAAAAGGCAGAGGAAGUUCUGUUUUACUAAAGACCUCAUCCAAAAAUAAAAGAAAACUAUGUUAGCGUAAAUACCACUACAAAGAAAAUAUCUGAUUAGCCAGGAGCUUUCAAUGUUGUAGCUGGCGCUGGUUCACUUAUUCUGCACAAUGAGGAAUAUCGACUGCGUGAAUUUCAACAGCACAUUGAAGUACUUUGUGCCGGCGCUAAAUCUCAGCCUGGUUUGCUGACGGAAGGGCCCACCUGCCUUGUCACCCAGGGCUGGGGCUGGGCCGCGGCGUGUGAUCGCUUGUCGCUGCCCCCAGGAGGCAGGGCUGCAGACCCACCUCCCUCACCCGGGUGCCUCUGCCGUGCCUUGGCCAACUGCGCCUCUUCCCUCCGUAGACAGCUAAGAAGUGGGCAAGCUUCCAUUUAACAUGUUCAAGGAAGUGACUGUAAUGAUGAGCGUGGUAUAUCCGCAUCCCACGUGUCAGUGGGGUCUUCCUCCCUUCCACGCUUCUCGGUUUUUCUUCUCUUUCCUCCGUCACCUUGUGUUUCCUUCCUUCCCUCCUUUCUUCCCUCCCUUCCUUCCCUUCCUCCUUUAUUCUUCUUUUUGAGGGGGCAGUAAGUCAUUUAAUGUUACGCAAAGUAAGAGAAACUAAAAGGAAUUCUGUAAUG